CCUACGGGAGGCAGCAGUGAGGAAUAUUGGUCAAUGGGCGGGAGCCUGAACCAGCCAAGUCGCGUGAGGGACGACGGUCCUAUGGAUUGUAAACCUCUUUUGUCGGGGAACAAAGUCCCCCACGGGUAGGCGUAUGAGUGUACCCUAAGAAUAAGCAUCGGCUAACUCCGUGCCAGCAGCCGCGGUAAUACGGAGGAUGCGAGCGUUAUCCGGAUUUCUUGGGUUUAAAGGGUGCGUAGGCGGACAGUAAAGUCAGCGGUAAAAGUGCGGUGCUAAACGCCGUACAGCCGUUGAAACUGGGAGUCUUGAGUGGGCGAGAGGUAUGCGGAAUGCGUGGUGUAGCGGUGAAAUGCAUAGAUAUCACGCAGAACUCCGAUUGCGAAGGCAGCAUACCGGCGCCCGACUGACGCUGAGGCACGAAAGCGUGGGUAUCGAACAGGAUUAGAUACCCGGGUAGUC
rnacentral:rRNA from 1 species